GAGUUUGAUCGUGGCUCAGGAUGAACGCCGGCGGUGUGCCUAAUACAUGCAAGUCGUACGCACUGGCCCAACUGAUUGAUGGUGCUUGCACCUGAUUGACGAUGGAUCACCAGUGAGUGGCGGACGGGUGAGUAACACGUAGGUAACCUGCCCCGGAGCGGGGAUAACAUUUGGAAACAGAUGCUAAUACCGCAUAACAACAAAGGCCACAUGGCUUUUGUUUGAAAGAUGGCUUUGGCCAUCACUCUGGGAUGGACCUGCGGUGCAUUAGCUAGUUGGUAAGGUAACGGCUUACCAAGGCGAUGAUGCAUAGCCGAGUUGAGAGACUGAUCGGCCACAAUGGAACUGAGGCACGGUCCAUACUCCUACGGGAGGCAGCAGUAGGAAUCUUCACAAUGGCGCAAGCCUGAUGGAGCAACACCGCGUGAGUGAAGUAAGGGUUCGCUCGUAAAGCUCUGUUGUUGGAGAAGAACGUGCGUGAGAGU
rnacentral:rRNA from 1 species